CAGUCAUGUCUGCCAGGACUCAGCCUUGCUCCUGCUUGGUGUACUUUCUGGUUUGACGGGCCAACAUCAAUUUUGACCGUUGGAGAAAGGCUUUGGGAAUGUGGCACCCUCGGGUGUGUUAUAGCCCAUUGUUGCAUACGGUGGUUGGGAUUGAGGAACUCAGCACGCCGCAAGGCCGGGUUUCGACCACGUACGUGCUUAGGAUGCUGGCAUAAUGGCUUUAAUCGACCCGUCUUGAAACACGGACCAAGGAGUCUAACAUGUAUGCGAGUGUU
rnacentral:rRNA from 1 species